AUUAACAUAAUCGUUCCUUGCGAUUGUAGCCACAGGCCUUGUGGAAUUGGAUCCCACGGAUGCAGAGGAAUUGGCGAUGUUCCUGGAUAAGAAUGAGCCGCAGGCCCAGUGGGAUGUAAUUCAGAUGAUACAGAAUAAUCGGCUGAUUCUCCGAAUGAAAGAUCCCUAGUAAUGUUACAAUGCUUUACAAGUCCACAAAUAAUAUGCACUCACUAACCGGCUCUGACAGUAGGCAGAUGGGUCAGGAUGCAGGAAUGUCCGGUAGAAGUAUGGCUUAAGACUGACACUUCUGGAUUCUGCAAUCUCUCUGGCAGCUUCAUAUAAGCCAUCUUGGAGCCCUGCACACAAUGAAAAUGAGAUGUCAACCUGGGGGGUGUUUUCCAGGAAGUCUUCUCUUCUCAUGAGGUGACCAAAGUAUU